rnacentral:rRNA from 1 species
ACAAUGGAGAGUUUGAUCCUGGCUCAGGAUGAACGCUAGCUACAGGCUUAACACAUGCAAGUCGAGGGGAAACGAUAUUGGAAGCUUGCUUCCGAUAGGCGUCGACCGGCGCACGGGUGAGUAACGCGUAUCCAACCUGCCCAUCACUUGGGGAUAACCUUGCGAAAGUAAGACUAAUACCCAAUGAUAUCUCUAGAAGGCAUCUGAAAGAGAUUAAAGAUUUAUCGGUGAUGGAUGGGGAUGCGUCUGAUUAGCUUGUUGGCGGGGUAACGGCCCACCAAGGCGACGAUCAGUA